UACGUAGGGUGCAAGCGUUAAUCGGAAUUACUGGGCGUAAAGCGUGCGCAGGCGGUUUGCUAAGACAGGUGUGAAAUCCCCGGGCUUAACCUGGGAACUGCGCUUGUAACUGGCAAGCUUGAGUGUGGCAGAGGGGGGUAGAAUUCCGACGUGUAGCAGUGAAAUGCGUAGAUAUGUGGAGGAACACCGGUGGCGAAGGCGCUGCUCUGGGCCGGUACUGACGCUGAGGAGCGAAAGCGUGGGUAGCAAAACAGGG
rnacentral:rRNA from 1 species